UGUAAGUUACCCAUAAUUCCGAGCGGGAACGACGCUAACGGUGGGACCGACACUUGAAGACGCCAUCGGCCAUAUUGCUUUGUUUUGUUUAUUGUGUAUUUGUGAGUGAUUCAUUCUCAAUCUCUCUCAUUGAGUUGAGAAUAUCGAUAUUCUGGUGCUGAGUUGUUCAAGUUAUUAUAUUAUAUUGUUUAAGCUGAUUUGUUAUUAAGUUUCAUCUAGGCCUAUUUCUUCUUAUCCAUCAAGCUGCUGCACAGAAAAUGUUGGGCAUAAGUGAAGUCACGGAAGCCAAAGUUACAAGCGUUUUUGCUAAGUGGCUUCAACAAGCCAAAACCAGAUGUGAAAGAAGAGGGAAAAAAACCUGCCACUGUGGACAGUGGGGAAGAAGUUCCACUCAAUGGGGAUGAAGAUCUUGUUGAAUAGAUAACUUACUCUGUAUUAUUUAAGUAAUCGUAAAAAGAGGAAUUUUUGAGGGAACUGUUUGUUGAAAGUUAAAGAUACGAUCGAGGCAUUUUCAAAUGUGAAUGUGUUAUGUAAAUCUUCAAUAUAAAUCUAUUUAGACAAAUU